GAGUUUGAUCGUGGCUCAGAUUGAACGCUGGCGGCAGGCCUAACACAUGCAAGUCGAGCGGAUGAAGGGAGCUUGCUCCUGGAUUCAGCGGCGGACGGGUGAGUAAUGCCUAGGAAUCUGCCUGGUAGUGGGGGAUAACGUCCGGAAACGGGCGCUAAUACCGCAUACGUCCUGAGGGAGAAAGUGGGGGAUCUUCGGACCUCACGCUAUCAGAUGAGCCUAGGUCGGAUUAGCUAGUUGGUGGGGUAAAGGCCUACCAAGGCGACGAUCCGUAACUGGUCUGAGAGGAUGAUCAGUCACACUGGAACUGAGACACGGUCCAGACUCCUACGGGAGGCAGCAGUGGGGAAUAUUGGACAAUGGGCGAAAGCCUGAUCCAGCCAUGCCGCGUGUGUGAAGAAGGUCUUCGGAUUGUAAAGCACUUUAAGUAGGGAGGAAGGGCAGUAAGUUAAUACCUUGCUGUUUUGACGUUACCAACAGAAUAAGCACCGGCUAACUUCGUGCCAGCAGCCGCGGU
rnacentral:rRNA from 1 species